GGNGCUCUCCCNUAUGGUCGACCAAUUCACUAGUGAUAGAGUUUGAUCCUGGCUCAGUAACACGUCGGUAACCUACCCUCGGGAGGGGGAUAACCCCGGGAAACUGGGGCUAAUCCCCCAUAGGCCUGAGGUACUGGAAGGUCCUCAGGCCGAAAGGGGCCCGCCCGAGGAUGGGCCGGCGGCCGAUUAGGUAGUUGGUGGGGUAACGGCCCACCAAGCCGAAGAUCGGUACGGGCCAUGAGAGUGGGAGCCCGGAGAUGGACACUGAGACACGGGUCCAGGCCCUACGGGGCGCAGCAGGCGCGAAACCUCCGCAAUGCGGGCAACCGCGACGGGGGGACCCCCAGUGCCGUGGCAUCGCCACGGCUUUUCCGGAGUGUAAAAAGCUCCGGGAAUAAGGGCUGGGCAAGGCCGGUGGCAGCCGCCGCGGUAAUACCGGCGGCCCGAGUGGUGGCCGCUAUUAUUGGGCCUAAAGCGUCCGUAGCCGGGCCCGUAAGUCCCUGGCGAAAUCCCACGGCUCAACCGUGGGGCUUGCUGGGGAUACUGCGGGCCUUGGGACCGGGAGAGGCGGGGGGUACCCCUGGGGUAGGGGUGAAAUCCUAUAAUCCCAGGGGGACCGCCAGUGGCGAAGGCGCCCCGCUGGAACGGGUCCGACGGUGAGGGACGAAGGCCAGGGGAGCGAACCGGAUUAGAUACCCGGGUAGUNCUGGCUGUAAAGGAUGCGGGCUAGGUGUCGGGCGAGUUUNGAGCUCGCCCGGUGCCGAAGGGAAGCCGUUAAGCCCGCCGCCUGGGGAGUACGGCCGCAAGGCUGAAACUUAAAGGAAUUGGCGGGGGAGCACUACAAGGGGUGGAGCGUGCGGUUUAAUUGGAUUCAACGCCGGGAACCUCACCGGGGGCGACGGCAGGAUGAAGGCCAGGCUGAAGGUCUUGCCGGACACGCCGAGAGGAGGUGCAUGGCCGCCGUCAGCUCGUACCGUGAGGCGUCCACUUAAGUGUGGUAACGAGCGAGACCCGCGCCCCCAGUUGCCAGUCCUCCCCGCUGGGGAGGAGGCACUCUGGGGGGACCGCCGGCGAUAAGCCGGAGGAAGGAGCGGGCGACGGUAGGUCAGUAUGCCCCGAAACCCCCGGGCUACACGCGCGCUACAAUGGAAUC
rnacentral:rRNA from 1 species